GAGUAAUGCCUAGGAAUCUGCCUGGUAGUGGGGGAUAACGUCCGGAAACGGGCGCUAAUACCGCAUACGUCCUGAGGGAGAAAGUGGGGGAUCUUCGGACCUCACGCUAUCAGAUGAGCCUAGGUCGGAUUAGCUAGUUGGUGGGGUAAAGGCCUACCAGGGCGACGAUCCGUAACUGGUCUGAGAGGAUGAUCAGUCACACUGGAACUGAGACACGGUCCAGACUCCUACGGGAGGCAGCAGUGGGGAAUAUUGGACAAUGGGCGAAAGCCUGAUCCAGCCAUGCCGCGUGUGUGAAGAAGGUCUUCGGAUUGUAAAGCACUUUAAGUUGGGAGGAAGGGCAGUAAGUUAAUACCUUGCUGUUUUGACGUUACCAACAGAAUAAGCACCGGCUAACUUCGUGCCAGCAGCCGCGGUAAUACGAAGGGUGCAAGCGUUAAUCGGAAUUACUGGGCGUAAAGCGCGCGUAGGUGGUUCAGCAAGUUGGAUGUGAAAUCCCCGGGCUCAACCUGGGAACUGCAUCCAAAACUACUGAGCUAGAGUACGG
rnacentral:rRNA from 1 species